rnacentral:lncRNA from 1 species
CCUGGACUUUAUUUGGGAAGCUGAGAAUGGAAGAGAAACAAAAGAGUUUCUAAGGCCCUUUGGAAAUCAAGUAGAAGCCAAACUAAGGCUGUGUUGUUCCUCAAAGUAUAGCAUGGGAUCUCCUAAGGAGCUCCUUAUUUAAGGGCGGGAGGAAAACAAUUACCUCUAGAAAGUGCUGUUCUUACCACAUAAAAAGCGAAACAGCAUCUCAGCA